UACAGAGGGGGCAAGCGUUGUUCGGAAUUACUGGGCGUAAAGGGCGCGUAGGCGGCCUCUUAAGUCGAACGUGAAAUCCCCGGGCUCAACCCGGGAACUGCGUCCGAUACUGGGAGGCUUGAAUCCGGGAGAGGGAUGUGGAAUUCCACGUGUAGCAGUGAAAUGCGUAGAGAUGUGGAGGAACACCGAUGGCGAAGGCAGCUCUCUGGCUUCACCCUGACGCUGAGGCGCGAAAGCGUGGGGAGCGAACGGG
rnacentral:rRNA from 1 species